GCUCGGAACCGCCCUCAGGCCGCCUUCGACCGGCCCCGCCUGGUGCCGGGACCAGCGUUCGGAGCGGCAAAGCGCCGGGAUGAGGCACCCCCGCUCUGCCCGGCCUGUGAGGGCGGCAGAGAGCGGGCAGCGCUCCCCGUUCAGCGCCGGCAGCAACAGCGGAGCCCUCAAAGCACCGGCUGUGCCGGGAGCCUCUUUGCCCUGCCCUACGCAACAACCCCUGGCAGCCUUAAGCUAAAGGCUCAUCCCAAGGGACCUGUACCAGUUUACAGGGAACCCGUUCACCUGGGACGUCCCUGUCUUUCUGUACAAGAACGGCAUCUCCCAAGGAAACAUGGAGAGAGAUAAAGGAUGGAAGUGCAUAACCACUACUGUGUUCAACAAUUACAAACCUUCCUUCAACCAGAGAACUGCUCAACCUGCCCCUUGGAGCAGAAAAGAGAACCACUCAUCCCAAUCUGACCAAGCCAAAGGAUGGCAGAACAGACAGUGCAGCAGCCCUUAGCAGGCCUCCCUCCCUCCUUUUUUAUACAUGCCCAGGGUGGUAAAAGAACA